CAGUAGCCGCGGGAAUACGAAGGGGGCUAGCGUUGUUCGGAAUUACUGGGCGUAAAGCGCACGUAGGCGGAUAUUUAAGUCAGGGGUGAAAUCCCGCAGCUCAACUGCGGAACUGCCUUUGAUACUGGGUAUCUUGAGUAUGGAAGAGGUUAGUGGAAUUGCGAGUGUAGAGGUGAAAUUCGUAGAUAUUCGCAGGAACACCAGUGGCGAAGGCGGCUAACUGGUCCAUAACUGACGCUGAGGUGCGAAAGCGUGGGGAGCAAACAGGAUUAGAUACCCGGGUAGUCCCUGUCUCUUAUAC
rnacentral:rRNA from 1 species